UUAAUGGGCUUUUUCAAGGCCACCCAAAUAGUAAGAAAUAUUAUUU
rfam:Sarcophilus harrisii ctg7180002488535, whole genome shotgun sequence.